UGUGUGUUAGUGGAAGCGUCUGGAAAGGCGCGCGAUACAGGGUGACAGCCCCGUACACAAAAAUGCACAUGCUGUGAGCUCGAUGAGUAGGGCGGGACACGUGGUAUCCUGUCUGAAUAUGGGGGGACCAUCCUCCAAGGCUAAAUACUCCUGACUGACCGAUAGUGAACCAGUACCGUGAGGGAAAGGCGAAAAGAACCCCGGCGAGGGGAGUGAAAAAGAACCUGAAACCGUGUACGUACAAGCAGUGGGAGCCUCUUUUAUGGGGUGACUGCGUACCUUUUGUAUAAUGGGUCAGCGACUUAUAUUCUGUAGCAAGGUUAACCGAAUAGGGGAGCCGAAGGGAAACCGAGUCUUAACUGGGCGUUAAGUUGCAGGGUAUAGACCCGAAACCCGGUGAUCUAGCCAUGGGCAGGUUGAAGGUUGGGUAACACUAACUGGAGGACCGAACCGACUAAUGUUGAAAAAUUAGCGGAUGACUUGUGGCUGGGGGUGAAAGGCCAAUCAAACCGGGAGAUAGCUGGUUCUCCCCGAAAGCUAUUUAGGUAGCGCCUCGUGAAUUCAUCUCCGGGGGUAGAGCACUGUUUCGGCAAGGGGGUCAUCCCGACUUACCAACCCGAUGCAAACUGCGAAUACCGGAGAAUGUUAUCACGGGAGACACACGGCGGGUGCUAACGUCCGUCGUGAAGAGGGAAACAACCCAGACCGCCAGCUAAGGUCCCAAAGUCAUGGUUAAGUGGGAAACGAUGUGGGAAGGCCCAGACAGCCAGGAUGUUGGCUUAGAAGCAGCCAUCAUUUAAAGAAAGCGUAAUAGCUCACUGGUCGAGUCGGCCUGCGCGGAAGAUGUAACGGGGCUAAACCAUGCACCGAAGCUGCGGCAGCGACGCUUAUGCGUUGUUGGGUAGGGGAGCGUUCUGUAAGCCUGCGAAGGUGUACUGUGAGGUAUGCUGGAGGUAUCAGAAGUGCGAAUGCUGACAUAAGUAACGAUAAAGCGGGUGAAAAGCCCGCUCGCCGGAAGACCAAGGGUUCCUGUCCAACGUUAAUCGGGGCAGGGUGAGUCGACCCCUAAGGCGAGGCCGAAAGGCGUAGUCGAUGGGAAACAGGUUAAUAUUCCUGUACUUGGUGUUACUGCGAAGGGGGGACGGAGAAGGCUAUGUUGGCCGGGCGACGGUUGUCCCGGUUUAAGCGUGUAGGCUGGUUUUCCAGGCAAAUCCGGAAAAUCAAGGCUGAGGCGUGAUGACGAGGCACUACGGUGCUGAAGCAACAAAUGCCCUGCUUCCAGGAAAAGCCUCUAAGCAUCAGGUAACAUCAAAUCGUACCCCAAACCGACACAGGUGGUCAGGUAGAGAAUACCAAGGCGCUUGAGAGAACUCGGGUGAAGGAACUAGGCAAAAUGGUGCCGUAACUUCGGGAGAAGGCACGCUGAUAUGUAGGUGAAGUCCCUCGCGGAUGGAGCUGAAAUCAGUCGAAGAUACCAGCUGGCUGC
rnacentral:rRNA from 1 species